rnacentral:rRNA from 1 species
ACAAGUACCGUGAGGGAAAGUCGAAAAGAACUUUGAAGAGAGAGUUAAAGAGGACGUGAAACCGGUGGGGUGGAAACGGAUAGAGCCGGCGUUCUGACUCGUAUUCAGCGGUUCGACCCGCAGGGGCGUUCGGUGCUCUGUUCGAGUUGCUGUUCGCAUCCGGUGGGUAGCUCCGUGCAUUUGCGGGUGGAGAGCACUGAGGGGCGUUGGGGUGGUGGCGGGAGAUUCGCUCAGAGGACGUGCUUGCACGGAUCCUGUUCGUCUCGAGCGCGAUCGCUCUGACGUUGCUGCCGGGGAGCAGUGCGAAGCGCAGUUGGUCUUUUGCAAGGCUUGAGGGUCGCAUGCGAUCAUCCUGCCCAGAUUGGCGAUUGGCCCUCGGCGUGGAGCUCCGUUCCCACCUCGGUGUAGCUGCGGUCACCUAUCCGACCCGUCUUGAAACACGGACCAAGGAGUUUAACGUAUACGCGAGUCAUUGGGCGGCAAACCCAUAGGCGCAAUGAAAGUAAACAAAUGAAUGCGACCCCACUGCCCUGGCGGCGGGAGCAGCAUUGCCCUGUAGGUUUCACUGCGGUGGUCCUGCUGAGGCGGAGCGUAUGCGAUGAGACCCGAAAGAUGGUGAACUAUUCCCGGGCAGGACGAAGCCGGGGGAAACUCCGGUGGAAGUCCGAAGCGGUUCUGACGUGCAAAUCGAUCGUCUGACCUGGGUAUAGGGGCGAAAGACUAAUCGAACCAUCUAGUAGCUGGUUUCCUUCCGA